rnacentral:rRNA from 1 species
UACGAAGGGGGCUAGCGUUGCUCGGAAUUACUGGGCGUAAAGGGCGCGUAGGCGGAUAGUUUAGUCAGAGGUAAAAGCCCAGGGCUCAACCUUGGAACUGCCUUUGAUACUGGCUAUCUUGAGUACGGGAGAGGUGUGUGGAACUCCGAGUGUAGAGGUGAAAUUCGUAGAUAUUCGGAAGAACACCAGUGGCGAAGGCGACACACUGGCCCGUUACUGACGCUGAGGCGCGAAAGCGUGGGGAGCAAACAGGG